UUGGAUUGACAAAAAAGCUCGUUUGGGUUUUUCCGUAACAGCUUAUGGAAAAAUCCCAAAGACCUUUUUGGCCAACCCAAU
rnacentral:miRNA from 1 species